AUUGAAGUAGUGGGUGGAAUGCAGUCUUUAAUUUCAUGGCUGAACUCUAAAAGCUCGGUAUCUCCUGCAGAAAUGGAGGCUACAGUUGCAAUAAGAACAUUGGGACCUCCAGUUGGUUGCACCAUUCCAGGACAUAAAACAAUUUCUCAACUCAGAGCACAUUUUGUCCAAGGACAGCGUGAAUUAAGUGGGACUCCGAUUACAGAUCCUAAGAAUGCUGCACCUAAAUGACCUUGUUCACCGACCACUGAAGGACCUCAUUCACCUACAUCAGAAGAAUGCCCCAAAAAACCAGUAGACAGAGAAAAGUUAACUGGCCAGGAUUCAGCAUUCAAAGGCGGUGGCAAUCCAGAAGAUGUCAGCAGCAGAUCUACAGACAAUGUAAUUAGGAAGGGGUUUUACUCAGUGGACUAACUGAAAAGCUGAACGGACUGUUCUAGUGCCUAGACUACCUCACAUCAAUACUCUAUGCGUUUAUUGAUGUAAACAAAAAUAUGCUUUUUAGUUUAACUUUUUUCAGUCCUCAUUUCCCAAAUAUAUUCUUGUAAGAGUUAUCCUUAUUAGUCUUUUUAAAAGUCUUAAUCUGUCACUAGCUGAAACAGCUUUGGAAAAGGCCACAAAAACCAAGCUGCCCUGUGACUUGGAUUCAGAAUGUAUGUAAACAGGUUAACUAGUUGCCGCAACCACGUUGUGGUUUCAAGUGUGUAUGAACGUGCUUGUAUUCAUUUGUGCUUUCCUGGUGCAUGUGCAUAUAUUGUUCUUCCCUGAAACUAUUUUCCCGUUGAGCACAUACACUCCUGUGCAUCUAUCACAAUGGUGCUCAGCUUCCUCAGCUAGUAGCUUUCCACUGCCUGACACAGCCAUGCACUAUCCAAGUAUUGCCUCCCAUGGAGGUCCAUAAAUAAUUUAAAUAUUGAAGAAACUGCAGCAGAGGAUGCUACCAAGGUAUGGAGAUGAUAGACAUGUCCCAUGCCAUUGUAUCUGAUUUUUGUCUUAACACUGCUGCAGCAUGAGCCUGGAGGGGUUUCUUUGUUGUCACUGGGUAGUAAAGCUAAACUCAGAACACACAGCUGAAGAUGUAACUUAAACAUUGCAAUAGCCAAGGCUGUUGUGACACUGCUACCCACUUGAAAGGUACAGCCUUGAGCUGUUCUACAUGGUUACAUGAAAACUGAAGGUCCGGUUCUGUAAACUGAUAACACUGCUUAACCCAGUUAAGUGCGUUAGGGUUUUUUGAGGGGUGGGGAGAAAUUCUGAUCAUAUGAAACAAAUGUUAUGCUCUCUGUCUAUUGUAAUUUCUUUAUAACUUGGUGUUUUUGUAAAUGAAGUUGUAUGUUUUUUCCAGAGUAUUUUCAUAUGUACUGUAAAAUGCUGUCUUCCAAAGAGAAAUUUAAAAUCUUGAGUCUUUUUUUUUUUUUUAAUGCACGUGGGAUCUGCUUAAAAACCCCAAACAACUAGACCAAACGUAAGGGGGGGGGGGGCAGGGCCACAAAAAAAUAUCUUCUACAAAAUGAUAAUGUCAUGGUAGAGUAAAUUUGAGGAGAUUAGGAACACCGUUUUCCUGCUUCCAGUGUUUCCAGGUUUUGAAUUAACACCCUUUGAAUAGUGCAGCUUGCAAACUGCGUUGACAGCUGAAGUCCCAGUUUGCUGUGCGGACAACAGAUACCCCUGACUUCUUUUAAAAUUAGUUGCUUGGCUUAAAGAGCAAUUCUGAGCUCUGAUCAUCUUAAGCAUCCACCUCAAACCCUAGUGACAAGACCGAAGGGGCAUGUAGCUAACUUGCACGGUCUUCAUUCUCAAGCAUUCCCCCUACUGCUAGUAUUCCAAAAUUGUGGAGAAAGCAUGACUAUGACAAAAUACUUACUUUUUUUUCCUUAUUACCUCUGGUUUCCAGCUUGCUUCAAGUGCAAUUCAUCUCUUAGAAAAUUUGCCUUAGUGGGUUUGAGAGGUCUUAUUCUUCCUUCUCUACUCCAACCCCCCCAAAACUUAAAGAGUGCAAGGCUUAGGUUUCCUCACAGGUUAAAAUUAGGAAACAGAACCCCUGUUACUUAAGUGGCUUUUAGCAGAGCUCCACCUUGAGUUUAUAAAAUGGUUACCUUGGUUUUGUGACCUGUGUUAAAAAUCAUGGUAUUUAAAUACUGUCAAGCCUGUGUACUAGCUACAGUAUGUAUACAACUUCAGCACCUGUGUAAAUAAAAAUCCAUCAUGAAUUUGAAGGAAUUAAAGCUGAAGUAGGUGAUAAGAUAAGCAGCAAAGCAAAUAUGAAAAGUGUUUUUUAAUAGUCUACAACCCUGUAAUAUUACCAUGCUUUUAAACCACUUCUUCCACUUGAGUAUUCCAAGACUGUUAAAGGCUGUUUUGCCCUUAACCUCUAGGUCAGCACAUGCAUUUAUGCAACUAGUCUCAAACUAACCUAGCUAAUUGCUAUCAAAGUAUAUGCCUUUACACGGAUUUUUUUUUUUAACUCUUGCUUUGCAGAAUUAUCUUGUAAUUGCUCUUACUCCCCCCCCCCCCCCCCCCACACACACACUCUUAAGGUGUUAAGAAGUUUAGGAAGAAGUUAGGUUACUACUUUCCCAGACUUGAUCCAGCAUAAGUGAGAUUACACGCUUCACCUUAAUAUACCCUGACUCAACGCUUGGCCCAGUGCAGAGUGACGUCACUGUUCUGGAGUUUCCCUGGCUAUUGCAGAAGUUCGAUACUGCCCCAGGACUAUGCAGAUUAGAUUACAGCUGGUUUAAAUAAAGUUCAAACUGCAACAUUC